rnacentral:rRNA from 1 species
AUUGAACGCUGGCGGCAUGCUUUACACAUGCAAGUCGAACGGUAACAGGCCGCAAGGUGCUGACGAGUGGCGAACGGGUGAGUAAUGCAUCGGAACGUGCCCAGUCGUGGGGGAUAACGCAGCGAAAGCUGCGCUAAUACCGCAUACGAUCUAUGGAUGAAAGCGGGGGACCGUAAGGCCCCGCGCGAUUGGAGCGGCCGAUGUCAGAUUAGGUAGUUGGCGGGGUAAAGGCUCACCAAGCCAACGAUCUGUAGCUGGUCUGAGAGGACGACCAGCCACACUGGGACUGAGACACGGCCCAGACUCCUACGGGAGGCAGCAGUGGGGAAUUUUGGACGAUGGGCGCAAGCCUGAUCCAGCAAUGCCGCGUGCAGGAAGAAGGCCUUCGGGUUGUAAACUGCUUUUGUACGGAACGAAACGGUCCUGGUUAAUACCCGGGGCUAAUGACGGUACCGUAAGAAUAGGCACCGGCUAACUACGUGCCAGCAGCCGCAGUAAUAC